rnacentral:lncRNA from 10 species
CCAGCACCGGGCGGAGAGGGCUACCAUGGGGAAAAUCGCGCUGCAACUCAAAGCCACGCUGGAGAACAUCACCAACCUCCGGCCCGUGGGCGAGGACUUCCGGUGGUACCUGAAGGUGCGGCCGGGGCGGGGCCCGGGGAGAGGAGGCCCGUCCUGAUCUCAGUGCUGAACCGGAGCCUUCUCUCCGGCAGUAUGAGAAAAUAUUUAACCAGGCACAUUAAGUGUUCGGGGUUUUCCUAGUUAGAAUUUUACGUUUGCUUUCUAUUAAAGUGUAUUGGUUUAUCUCUAAUUGGCAGUCUUGGAAAGCUUCAUUUUGUAGUUCUUCCCUGUGUUAAAUAUUUCGUGGUCUGUAAAUGGACACUAAACGAAAUGCUACUUGAAGGGACGCUUGUGAUUAUUUAAUAAGGUGAAUAGUUCGCCUUUCGUUUAUUGAUUUGGUUUUCUUUAUUGUGAAAUAGUUUAAUUUUGUGCGUAAUCCACCCUUCCUUAGCCCUCCCACACUGGUAAAGCUGGUACCCUAGUGGCAUGGUCUACAGAGGCCUCCCCUUCCCCAGCAGUUCGAGGCUCUUCACUCUUCCAGAUCCCAGAGCUUCUGCUCUGUUUUACUCCUGGUCAAAAAUCCCAGCAUCCUUCUGUACCUCUCAAAAGCCCUGUUUUUCGGGAAGCUGCCUCCGGACUACUUUUGUUUCCCAGGAUUUUGAAGCCUGAAUACCAGGGCUUACUUGGGAGAAUCUGUUCUUUGGCUUGAAGAAGCGGAAUCGAGUGAAGGAGACAGAAAAAUAGAGUAACAAUAGAGUGAUAAGUGCUUAUACCAGUGACAUACAGGGCCUGUGGGAACAUA